rnacentral:rRNA from 1 species
GACGAACGCUGGCGGCGUGCUUAACACAUGCAAGUCGAACGGAAAGGCCCUGCUUUUGUGGGGUGCUCGAGUGGCGAACGGGUGAGUAACACGUGAGUAACCUGCCCUUGACUUUGGGAUGACUUCAGGAAACUGGGGCUAAUACCGGAUAGGAGCUCCUGCUGCAUGGUGGGGGUGGGACAGUUUGGGCGGUUGGGGAUGGACUCGCGGCUCAUCAGCUUGUUGGUGGGGUAGUGGCUUACCAAGGCUUUGACGGGUAGCCGGCCUGAGAGGGUGACCGGCCACAUUGGGACUGAGAUACGGCCCAGACUCCUACGGGAGGCAGCAGUGGGGAAUAGUGCACAAUGGGCGGAAGCCUGAUGCAGCAACGCCGCGUGCGGGAUGACGGCCUUCGGGUUGUAAACCGCUUUCGCCUGUGACGAAGCGUGAGUGACGGUAAUGGGUAAAGAAGCGCCGGCUAACUACGUG